GAUGAACGCUGGCGGCGUGCCUAAUACAUGCGAGUCGAGCGAACAGAUGAGGAGCUUGCUCCUCUGACGUUAGCGGCGGACGGGUGAGUAACACGUGGAUAACCUACCUAUAAGACUGGGAUAACUUCGGGAAACCGGAGCUAAUACCGGAUAAUAUAUUGAACCGCAUGGUUCAAUAGUGAAAGACGGUUUUGCUGUCACUUAUAGAUGGAUCCGCGCCGCAUUAGCUAGUUGGUAAGGUAACGGCUUACCAAGGCAACGAUGCGUAGCCGACCUGAGAGGUUGAUCGGCCACACUGGAACUGAGACACGGGCCAGACUCCUACGGGAGGCAGCAGUAGGGAAUCUUCCGCAAUGGGCGAAAGCCUGACGGAGCAACGCCGCGGGAGUGAUGAAGGUCUUCGGAUCGUAAAACUCUGUUAUUAGGGAAGAACAAAUGUGUAAGUAACUAUGCACGUCUUGACGGUACCUAAUCAGAAAGCCACGGCUAACUACGU
rnacentral:rRNA from 1 species